GCCGUUUUUGCAUGAUAUAGUUGAUAAGUUUCUCAUCUUCCUCACUUUUUCAUGUGCGGAGCCGAGCCGAGAAGAGGUCUCUGCUCACCCACCCGAUGAAGAUGAGAUUUAUCAACUGUAUCAUGAAAAACGGC
rnacentral:pre_miRNA from 1 species